rnacentral:rRNA from 1 species
CCUACGGGAGGCAGCAGUGGGGAAUAUUGGGCAAUGGAGGAAACUCUGACCCAGCGACGCCGCGUGCGGGAUGAAGGCCUUCGGGUUGUAAACCGCUUUCAGCAGGGAAUAAGCGCAAGUGAAGGUACCUGCAGAAGAAGCACCGGCUAACUAUGUGCCAGCGGCCGCGGUAAUACAUAGGGUGCAAGCGUUGUCCGGAAUUAUUGGGCGUAAAGAGCUCGUAGGUGGUUUGUUACGUCGGUUGUGAAAUUCAGAGGCUCAACCCCUGACUUGCAGCCGAUACGGGCAAGCUAGAGUUUGGUAGGGGAGACUGGAAUUCCUGGUGUAGCGGUGGAAUGCGCAGAUAUCAGGAGGAACACCGAUGGCGAAGGCAGGUCUCUGGGCCAAUACUGACACUGAGGAGCGAAAGCGUGGGGAGCGAACAGGAUUAGAUACCCUGGUAGUCCACGCCGUAAACGGUGGGCGCUAGUUGUGCGAACCUUCCACGGUUUGUGCGACGCAGCUAACGCAUUAAGCGCCCCGCCUGGGGAGUACGAUCGCAAGAUUAAAACUCAAAGGAAUUGACGGCUGAGCGNGCGAGCGACGACGAGGGAGAGG